AUAUUUCAUAGUCAGAGGUAAAAUUCUUAAAUUUAUGAAAAAUGAACAACUACGAAAGCAUUUGCCAAGGAUGUUUUCAAAGAGUGCUUGAAAUUGUCAAGAGGGAAGUGGAUAGGGACUACCAUGUGCCCCAAUCAAAUAUGGAAUGGCUAGAGUCAGUCCGUCAAUUGACUUAGGGCAUGGACUAUUACAGAUUGUGAUGAUGGCCUAAGACUAGGCUUUUGAUAUGCCCAUAGAGAUGUCAUUAUUUCUAUCAUGGAAUGAAGCACAUGCUAUCUCAGCAUGCCUUGGCACCUAUGUGCUCCAAGCAUCAACCUGCAAGCUUCUCAUUCAACCUAUCUUGAAACACGAACCAAGGAGUCUGACAUGUGUGCAAGUUAAUAGGUUAGAAAACUUAUAAGGCAUAAUGAAGUUGAUUGACAAGAUCCUUUACGGGUGCACCUCUGACUGAGCUUAAUCUUCUGAAAAGGGCAUACCUAUCAGGACUCGAAAGAUAAUGAGCUAUGCCUAAGCAAAGCGAAGCCAGAGGAAACUCUAGUGGAGGCCUACAGUGAUACUAAUAUGAAAAAUAUUCAUAUGACUUGGGUAUAGGGGCAAAAGACUAAUCGAACCAUCUAGUAACUAGUUCUAUCUGAAGUUUUCCUCAAGAUAGUUAGAGCCCUUAGCAAGUUCUAUUAAGUAAAGCCAAUGAUUAGAGGCAUCGAGGUUGUAACACCCUCGAUCUAUUCUCAAACUUUAAAUAAAUAGGAUGGAAAAGAUGCUUCAUUGAGUCGUGCCAGAGAAUCAAGAGCUCUAAGUGGGCCAUUUUUGGUAAGUAAAACUAGCGAUGCAGGAUAAAUCAGAAUAUGAGUUAUGAUGCCUAAUUGCAUGCUAACCUAGGACCCAUAAAAGGGUGUUGGUUGAUUAAGACAGCAAGACGGUGGUCAUGGAAGUCAAAAUCUACUAAAGAGCAUAUCACAACUCACCUGCCAAAUCAACUAGCCCCAAAAAUGGAUGACGUUUAAGCGUGCAACCUAUACCUGACCAUCAAAGUAAGGGCUAGGCCCCAAUGAGUAAAAAGGUGCUAUAGUUGCCGUAAAACCUAAGGUAUGAGCCCGAGUGAAAUGGUCAUCAAUGCAGAUUUUGAUGGUAGUAACAAAUAUUCAAAUGAGAACUUUUAAAGCUAAAAAAGAAAAAGGUUUUAUGUGAAUGGCACUUGCACAUGGGUUAGUUAAUCCUAAAAGAUAGGGGAGGCCUAUCCGAUAGCUUGUCCAGCAUGAGCUUCGAAAGGGAAUCAGGUUAAAAUUCUUGAACUAAGAUGCGAUGACUAACAACAACGUUAAGGAGUCCAGUAACGUCAACGAAGGCUUCAAGAAGAGUUAUCUUUUUCUGUUUAAUGGCCUACCCACCCUAGAAAUGGCUCAGGCAGAGGUAGGGUACAACGACCAAAAGAACACUGCAUGUCGCAUAGUGCCCGGUAUGCCCUUGGUGCCCCUUGAAAAUUUGAAGGAUCGAGUGCUAUUCAUGCCCUAUCGUACUUAAAUUGCAUCAAGUCUUUAAUGUGAAUAGCCUUUGGUGGAUGGAACAAUGUAGGCAAGAGAAAUCAGCAAAAUGAAUCAAUAAUCUCGGGAAAACAAAUUAGCUCUGAAAGUUGGGCAUAGGGGUCCUAGUCCAAACCCAUCAGCUAUCGGUGCACUGCUCGAGCUACUCCCAUAGUAAGAGUGGGUCACCAUGUGUCGAUCGAGGGAUGAACUAGGAAUGACUCCGUUAAGGGCCUAUCUUAAAUGAUAAGUAGUUGACUCAAUACUCGUAUGAACAAGGAGAAUUUGACUAUUUAAUUAAAACAAAUCAUUGCAAUGGUCCUUGCAGAUAUUCAUGCAAUGUGAUUUCUACCUAGUGCUCUAAAUUUCAAAGUGAAGAAAUUCAACCAAGCGCGAGUAAAUGAUGGGAGCAACUAUGACUCUUUUAAGUUAGCCAAAUGCCUCGUCAUCUAAUUAGUGAUGUGCAUGAAUGGAUUAAUGAGAUUCCCACUAUCUCUAUCUAUUAUCCAAUGAAACCAUAACCAAGGAAAUGAGCUUAGCAGAAUCAAUGAAGAAAGAAGACCCUUUUGAGCUUGACUCCAAUCUGACUUUGUGAAAUGACUUAAGAGGUGUAGGACAAGUGGAAGCCUUCAAGCGAAAUUGAAAUAUCACUGUCAUAACAUAUAGAUUCAUAAAUCUAUAGCUAGACUUAACAAAUAGAGUUGCCACCAAUCUUUUUUUUACUAAGUGUGAUUGGCCACCUAAGGAAUAUACCCUUUUAAGGAGCUCCUAAGCUUGAUUAAGGGUCCCUAAAAGAAUAGGUUCGGGUCUACAAAUCAGAAUAGGUUUUGGGAGUUCGAUUACAUAUGGGGAAGGUUAUAGCACCCCCCAUAUACCCAUUCAAAUGAUGGUACCAUUUUAUUUUAAAUUUAUCCUAAGGUCUUAAUUCUAAUGGUUUUAAACUUUAUGCUGAAUAUUGAAAAUAAUUCUUAAGAUUCUCCAUCAAUUUGGUAGAAUUCUUUAAAAUAUUUUCUCACCUCAAGAGUAUUCAAGAAUCUCAUUUAUUUUCUUAAAGAGGCUCUAUCGUCGAAAAAAAGGUUUAAUU
rnacentral:rRNA from 1 species